rnacentral:rRNA from 1 species
CGAAGGUGAGUAACGCGUGAGGAACCUGCCUCAAAGAGGGGGACAACAGUUGGAAACGACUGCUAAUACCGCAUAAGCCCACGGCUCGGCAUCGAGCAGAGGGAAAAGGAGCAAUCCGCUUUGAGAUGGCCUCGCGUCCGAUUAGCUAGUUGGUGAGGUAACGGCCCACCAAGGCGACGAUCGGUAGCCGGACUGAGAGGUUGAACGGCCACAUUGGGACUGAGACACGGCCCAG